rnacentral:rRNA from 1 species
CUCUCCAACCCAUUGUGAACUUACCAAACGUUCCCUCGGCGGGCUCAGCGCGCGGCGGCCUCCGGGCCUCCGGGCGUCCGCCGGGGAAAACCAAACCCUGAUUUAAUCGUAUUUUCUGAGGGGCGAAAGCCCGAAAACAAAAUGAAUCAAAACUUUCAACAACGGAUCUCUUGGCUCUGGCAUCGAUGAAGAACGCAGCGAAAUGCGAUAAGUAAUGUGAAUUGCAGAAUUCAGUGAAUCAUCGAAUCUUUGAACGCACAUUGCGCCCGCCGGCACUCCGGCGGGCAUGCCUGUCCGAGCGUCAUUUCAACCCUCAGGCCCACCCUUCCGGGGGAGCGGGCCUGGUGCUGGGGAUCGGCGGCCCUCGCGGCCCCCGUCCCUCAAAUUCAGUGGCGGUCGCGCCGCAGCCUCCCCUGCGUAGUAGCACAACCUCGCACCGGAGAGCGGAACGACCACGCCGUGAAACCCCC